rnacentral:lncRNA from 1 species
UUUUUUUUUUUUUUUUUCCAACCGAUAGGUCUCUAGACGUUACAGAGAACUCCGAACAACCCAAACUGUUAAUCUUCAAUACCCCUUUGUACUUACGAUCUUGUAUCCACUGACUGUCCUGUUAGAUUAACCCAAUAAAUUUCAUUCACUCCGCAUACUCAAUCCUAUAGACACCCCUUUAAUCCUUCAAUCACAGACGUAACUCGAUUUUACAAAACAGUCAAGAGUAUUCAAACCCACUUUAUUUAAAAAUCCCGAUUCACCAUUACAACACUGACUUCAGCCGCGAUUGC